CCUACGGGAGGCAGCAGUGGGGAAUAUUGCGCAAUGGGCGAAAGCCUGACGCAGCGACGUCGCGUGAGGGAUGAAGGUCUUCGGAUCGUAAACCUCUGUCAGCAGGGAAGAACGGUCACUGUGCUAAUCAGUAGUGAAUUGACGGUACCUGCAAAGGAAGCACCGGCUAACUCCGUGCCAGCAGCCGCGGUAAUACGGAGGGUGCGAGCGUUAAUCGGAAUUACUGGGCGUAAAGCGCUCGUAGGCGGUAUGUCAAGUCAAGGGUGAAAUCCCCGCGCUCAACGUGGGAACUGCCUUUGAUACUGGCAAACUGGAGUGUGUGAGAGGAUAGUGGAAUUCCAGGUGUAGGAGUGAAAGCCGUAGAUAUCUGGAGGAACAUCAGUGGCGAAGGCGACUAUCUGGCACAUAACUGACGCUGAGGAGCGAAAGCGUGGGUAGCAAACAGGAUUAGAUACCCGAGUAGUC
rnacentral:rRNA from 1 species